rnacentral:rRNA from 1 species
UUAAGUGAAUAAGGGCGCACGGUGGAUGCCUUGGUACUAGGAGCCGAAGAAGGACGGAACUAACACCGAUAUGCUUUGGGGAGCUGUAAGUAAGCUAAGAUCCAAAGAUUUCCGAAUGGGGGAACCCAACACCUUUCAUAGGGUGUUACCAAUGAGUGAAUACAUAGCUCAUUAGGAGGUACACGCAGGGAACUGAAACAUCUCAUUACCUGCAGGAAGAGAAAGAAAAAUCGAUUCCCUGAGUAGCGGCGAGCGAAACGGGAGGAGCCCAAACCAACGAGCUUGCUUGUUGGGGUUGUAGGACUAGAACGUGAGAAGAAAUCAAGAUAGCAGAAGUGGUCUGGAAAGGCCCAUCAAAGAAGGUGACAAUCCUGUACGCGACAUUUUGAUGAACUCUACUAGCAUCCUGAGUACGGCGGGACACGAGGAAUCCCGUCGGAAUCCGCCAGGACCAUCUGGCAAGGCUAAAUACUACCUAGUGACCGAUAGUGAACCAGUACCGUGAGGGAAAGGUGAAAAGAACCCCGGGAGGGGAGUGAAAGAGUACCUGAAACCGUGUGCUUACAAGUAGUCAGAGCCCGUUAAUGGGUGAUGGCGUGCCUUUUGUAGAAUGAACCGGCGAGUUACGUUUACAUGCGAGGUUAAGAUGAAGAGUCGGAGCCGUAGCGAAAGCGAGUCUGAAUAGGGCGCAUGUAGUAUGUGGACGUAGACCCGAAACCAAGUGAUCUACCCAUGUCCAGGUUGAAGGUGCGGUAAAACGCACUGGAGGACCGAACCAGGGCACGUUGAAAAGUGCUUGGAUGAGGUGUGGGUAGCGGAGAAAUUCCAAUCGAACUUGGAGAUAGCUGGUUCUCUCCGAAAUAGCUUUAGGGCUAGCCUCGGAAUCAAGAAUCGUGGAGGUAGAGCACUGUUUGGACUAGGGGCCCAUCUCGGGUUACCGAAUUCAGAUAAACUCCGAAUGCCAUGUAUUUAUAUCCGGGAGUCAGACUGCGAGUGAUAAGAUCCGUAGUCGAAAGGGAAACAGCCCAGACCACCAGCUAAGGUCCCAAAAUAUAUGUUAAGUGGAAAAGGAUGUGGGGUUGCACAGACAACUAGGAUGUUAGCUUAGAAGCAGCUAUUCAUUCAAAGAGUGCGUAAUAGCUCACUAGUCGAGUGACCCUGCGCCGAAAAUGUACCGGGGCUAAAACAUAUUACCGAAGCUGUGGAUACCUUUAUAGGUAUGGUAGGAGAGCGUUCUAUGUGCGAAGAAGGUGUACCGUGAGGAGUGCUGGAGCGCAUAGAAGUGAGAAUGCCGGUAUGAGUAGCGAAAGACAGGUGAGAAUCCUGUCCACCGUAAGACUAAGGUUUCCAGGGGAAGGCUCGUCCGCCCUGGGUUAGUCGGGACCUAAGGAGAGACCGAAAGGUGUAUCCGAUGGACAACAGGUUGAUAUUCCUGUACUAGAGUAUGUAGUGAUGGAGGGACGCAGUAGGCUAACUAAAGCAGACGAUUGGAAGUGUCUGUCUAAGCAGUGAGGUGUGAUAUGAGUCAAAUGCUUAUAUCUAUAACAUUGAGCUGUGAUGGGGAGCGAAGUUUAGUAGCGAAGUUAGUGACGUCACACUGCCAAGAAAAGCUUCUAGCGUUAAUCAUACUCUACCCGUACCGCAAACCGACACAGGUAGUCGAGGCGAGUAGCCUCAGGUGAGCGAGAGAACUCUCGUUAAGGAACUCGGCAAAAUGACCCCGUAACUUCGGGAGAAGGGGUGCUGGUAGCAAUACCAGCCGCAGUGAAUAGGCCCAGGCGACUGUUUAUCAAAAACACAGGUCUCUGCAAAAUCGAAAGAUGACGUAUAGGGGCUGACGCCUGCCCGGUGCUGGAAGGUUAAGAGGAGAGGUUAGCGCAAGCGAAGCUUUGAAUUGAAGCCCCAGUAAACGGCGGCCGUAACUAUAACGGUCCUAAGGUAGCGAAAUUCCUUGUCGGGUAAGUUCCGACCCGCACGAAAGGCGUAACGAUUUGGGCACUGUCUCAACGAUGGACUCGGUGAAAUCAUAGUACCUGUGAAGAUGCAGGUUACCCGCGACAGGACGGAAAGACCCCAUGGAGC